rnacentral:rRNA from 1 species
GAGGAAAGAGGGAGGAGGGAGGAAGAAAGGAAAGUAGAGUGAACAGACGAGGAGCUUGCUCCUCUGACGUUAGCGGCGGACGGGUGAUUAACCCGUGGAUAACCUCCCUUUAAGACUGGCCUAACUUCGGGAAACCGGAUCUAAUACCGGCUAACAUGUUGAACCCCAUGGUUCAACAAUGAAAGCCGGUCUUGCUGUCACUUAUUGUUGGAUCCGCGCCGUAUUAGCUAGUUGGUAUGGUAACGGCUUACCAAGGCAACGAUCCGUAGCCGACCUGAGAGGGUGAUCGGCCACACUGGAACUGAGACACGGUCCAGACUCCUACGGGAGGCAGCAGUAGGGAAUCUUCCGCAAUGGGCGAAAGCCUGACGGAGCAACGCCGCGUGAGUGAAGAAGGUCUUCGGAUCGUAAAACUCUGUUAUUAGGGAAGAACAAAGGGGGAAGUAACUAUGCACGUCUUGACGGUACCGAAUGAAAAAGCCACGGCUAACUACGUA